CAUUAACGUAGCCCGCGGUUGCCCGCGGAGGGCAUCCUCGGGUUGGACCGCAGGGCCCGGCAACCCUGUGCCCUUCCGUCCUUCGCUAGCAGCCGCUCUUCCUCGGCAGCGUCAAGGAAGGCACUACAGAAGAGGAGGAAACUGAGACUGACAGAAGUUACAUAAUUAUUAGUCCAAGAUCUCAAAACUAGGAAGUGGCAGAACCGGAACUGGAGCCCGAGCAAUCUGGAACUAGACUGAACUCUUAACCCCCACCUUCCAUAGCACAAUUAUUAAGACAGUAAGAAAAAUGCCCAAGGAGUCUACGGCCCAGAAUGACACUGUGAAUUCAUUUGUCCAUCAAAUAUUUAUUGAACACCGUAGUGGGUUGAAUAGUGUCCCUCCCCAAAAUUAAUGUCCACCCCGAACCUAAGAAUGCAAUCUUCCUUAUUUAGAAAUAGGGUCUUUGCAGAUGUAAUUAUUUAAAAUGAGAUUAUACUCAAAAGGGUGGGCCCUAAAUACAGAGUGUCCUUGUAUGAGACAGAAAAGGACAGAGACGUGGAGAAGAAGGUCUUGUGAAAAUGGAGGUGAGAUUGGAGUUAUGUGUCUAUAAGCCAAGAAACACCAAGGACUGACACCCACGACCAGAAGCAGCAGAGAAGCCUGGAACAGUUUCUCCUUCAGAGUUUCCAGAAGGAACCAAUUCUGCUGACACUUUGAUUUUGGACUUCUGGCCUCUUGAACUGUGAGAGAAUAAAUUUCAUCUGUUUCAA